rnacentral:rRNA from 1 species
GAAUUGUUCGCAAUGGACGAAAGUCUGACGACGCAACGCCGCGUGAAGGAUGAAGGUCUUCGGAUUGUAAACUUCUGUUGGGUGGGAAGAACUGCCUCCGGAUCAAUACCCUGGAGGCUUGACGGUACCACCUGAGGAAGCCCCGGCUAACUCUGUGCCAGCAGCCGCGGUAAUACAGAGGGGGCAAGCGUUGUUCGGAAUUACUGGGCGUAAAGGGCGCGUAGGCGGCCUGUUAAGUCAGACGUGAAAUCCCUCGGCUCAACCGGGGAACUGCGUCUGAUACUGGUGGGCUUGAGUUCGGGAGAGGAAUGUGGAAUUCCAGGUGUAGCGGUGAAAUGCGUAGAUAUCUGGAGGAACACCGGUGGCGAAGGCGGCAUUCUGGACCGACACUGACGCUGAGGCGCGAAAGCCAGGGGAGCAAACGG